rnacentral:miRNA from 1 species
UUGGAUUUUGAUUGGAUGCAC